GCGGCCUAUCAGCUUGUUGGUGAGGUAGUGGCUCACCAAGGCGACGACGGGUAGCCGGCCUGAGAGGGCGACCGGCCACACUGGGACUGAGACACGGCCCAGACUCCUACGGGAGGCAGCAGUGGGGAAUAUUACGCAAUGGGCGAAAGCCUGACGCAGCAACGCCGCGUGCGGGAUGAAGGCCUUCGGGUUGUAAACCGCUUUCAGCAGGGAAGAAGCGAAAGUGACGGUACCCGCAAAAGAAGCACCGGCUAACUACGUGCCAGCAGCCGCGGUAAUACGUAGGGUGCAAGCGUUGUCCGGAUUUAUUGGGCGUAAAGAGCUCGUAGGCGGUUAGUCACGUCGGAUGUGAAAACUCAGUGCUUAACACUGAGCCUGCAUUCGAUACGGGCUGACUAGAGUAUUGUAGGGGAGACUGGAAUUCCU
rnacentral:rRNA from 1 species